rnacentral:rRNA from 1 species
GAGUUUGAUCGUGGCUCAGAUUGAACGCUGGCGGAAUGCUUUACACAUGCAAGUCGAGCGGCAGCGCGGGGCAACCUGGCGGCGAGCGGCGAACGGGUGAGUAAUACAUCGGAACAUGUCCUGUCGUGGGGGAUAGCCCGGCGAAAGCCGGAUUAAUACCGCAUACGUCCGAGAGGAGAAAGUGGGGACCGCAAGGCCUCACGCGAUUGGGUUGGCCGAUGUCCGAUUAGCUAGUUGGUGGGGUAAAGGCCCACCAAGGCGAUGAUCGGUAGCUGGUCUGAGAGGAUGAUCAGCCACACUGGGACUGAGACACGGCCCAGACUCCUACGGGAGGCAGCAGUGGGGAAUUUUGGACAAUGGGGGCAACCCUGAUCCAGCCAUUCCGCGUGAGUGAAGAAGGCC